UACGUAGGGCGCAAGCGUUAUCCGGAAUUAUUGGGCGUAAAGCGCGUGUAGGCGGUUCCGUAAGUCCGCUCUGAAAGCCCAGGGCUCAACCCUGGGAGGCGGGUGGAUACUACGGAACUGGAGUACGGAAGAGGAGAUUGGAAUUCCUGGUGUAGCGGUGAAAUGCGCAGAUAUCAGGAGGAACACCAACAGCGAAGGCAGAUCUCUGGGACGUUACUGACGCUGAGACGCGAAAGCGUGGGGAGCAAACAGG
rnacentral:rRNA from 1 species